GACAGAGGGUGCAAACGUUGUUCGGAAUUACUGGGCGUAAAGCGCGUGUAGGCGGCUACGUAAGUCGGACGUGAAAUCCCACGGCUCAACCGUGGAAGAGCGCUCGAAACUGUGUAGCUUGAGUCCUGGAGAGGAAAGCGGAAUACUUGGUGUAGAGGUGAAAUUCGUAGAUAUCAGGUAGAACACCAGUGGCGAAGGCGGCUUUCUGGACAGUGACUGACGCUGAGACGCGAAAGCGUGGGGAGCAAACAGGAUUAGAUACCCGAGUAGUCC
rnacentral:rRNA from 1 species